rnacentral:rRNA from 1 species
GUCGGUGUCAACUGGCAUGUCCUGUGGAACGUCCUGCCGGUGGCGGACCGGGCUUUCGGCUUGCGUAAGGGCUUACGCUCGAAGCAGGCCGAACAGUACCGGCCGCCGGUCCAAUCCCGCCACGGUGCUCUUCACCGAGUGUCGAGGUGGGCCGGCACGUUUACUUUGAACAAAUUAGAGUGCUUAAAGCAGGCUGGUGUCCGCCUGAAUACUGUGUGCAUGGAAUAAUAGAAUAGGACCUCGGUUCUAUUUUGUUGGUUUUCGGAACCCGAGGUAAUGAUUAAUAGGGACAGGCGGGGGCAUUCGUAUUGCGACGUUAGAGGUGAAAUUCUUGGAUCGUCGCAAGACGAACCUAAGCGAAAGCAUUUGCCAAGUAUGUUCUCGUUAAUCAAGAACGAAAGUUAGAGGUUCGAAGGCGAUCAGAUACCGCCCUAGUUCUAACCAUAAACGAUGCCAGCCAGCGAUCCGCCGAAGUUCCUCCGAUGACUCGGCGGGCAGCUUCCGGGAAACCAAAGCUUUUGGGUUCCGGGGGAAGUAUGGUUGCAAAGCUGAAACUUAAAGGAAUUGACGGAAGGGCACCACCAGGAGUGGAGCCUGCGGCUUAAUUUGACUCAACACGGGAAACCUCACCAGGCCCGGACACCGGAAGGAUUGACAGAUUGAGAGCUCUUUCUUGAUUCGGUGGGGUGGUGGUGCAU